GGAAUCUUAGACAAUGGGGGAAACCCUGAUCUAGCCAUGCCGCGUGAGUGAUGAAGGCCUUAGGGUUGUAAAGCUCUUUCAGCUGGGAAGAUAAUGACGGUACCAGCAGAAGAAGCCCCGGCUAACUCCGUGCCAGCAGCCGCGGUAAUACGGAGGGGGCUAGCGUUGUUCGGAAUUACUGGGCGUAAAGCGCACGUAGGCGGACCAGAAAGUUGGAGGUGAAAUCCCAGGGCUCAACCUUGGAACUGCCUUCAAAACUAUUGGUCUGGAGUUCGAGAGAGGUGAGUGGAAUUCCGAGUGUAGAGGUGAAAUUCGUAGAUAUUCGGAGGAACACCAGUGGCGAAGGCGGCUCACUGGCUCGAUACUGACGCUGAGGUGCGAAAGCGUGGGGAGCAAACAGGAUUAGAUACCCCAG
rnacentral:rRNA from 1 species